AGAGUUUGAUCCUGGCUCAGGAUGAACGCUAGCUACAGGCCUAACACAUGCAAGUCGAGGGGUAUCGCGGCGUGGAGCGAUCCAUGCUGGCGGCGACCGGCGGAUGGGUGAGUAACGCGUAUCCAACCUGCCCCAUGCCCGGGCACAGCCCCUGGAAACGGGGAGUGACUCCCGGCGGCGCCGUUAUGCCGCAUGGCUUGACGGCUAAAUUUCGAGGCAUGGGAUGGGGGCGCGUCCGAUUAGGUAGUUGGCGGGGCAACGGCCCACCAAGCCGACGAUCGGUAGGGGUUCUGAGAGGAAGGUCCCCCACAUUGGGACUGAGACACGGCCCAAACUCCUACGGGAGGCAGCAGUGAGGAAUAUUGGUCAAUGGGCGGAAGCCUGAACCAGCCAAGUAGCGUGGAGGAUGACGGCCCUACGGGUUGUAAACUCCUUAGCGCGGGAAUAACAGUCGCCACGUGUGGCGUUUUGCAGGUACCGCGAGAAUAAGGACCGGCUAAUUCCGUGCCAGCAGCCGCGGUAAUACGGAAGGUCCGAGCGUUAUCCGGAUUUAUUGGGUUUAAAGGGAGCGCAGGCGGGACGUUAAGUCAGCCGUUAAAGUUCGGGGCCCAACCCCGUGUUGCGGUUGAAACUGGUGUCCUUGAGUCCGCAAGAGGCCGGUGGAAUUCGUGGUGUAGCGGUGAAAUGCAUAGAUAUCACGAGGAACUCCGAUUGCGAAGGCAGCCGGCUGGGGCGCGACUGACGCUCAUGCUCGAAGGCGCGGGUAUCAAACAGGAUUAGAUACCCUGGUAGUCCGCGCGGUAAACUAUGGACGCCCGCGGUGUGGCCAUUAUGGUUGCGCCGCCAAGCGAAAGCGUUAAGCGUCCCACCUGGGGAGUACGCCGGCAACGGUGAAACUCAAAGGAAUUGACGGGGGCCCGCACAAGCGGAGGAACAUGUGGUUUAAUUCGAUGAUACGCGAGGAACCUUACCCGGGCUUGAAAUGGCCGCUGUGGUGACCAGAGACGGUCACCUUUCCCUUCUGGGAGGCGGUUGUAGGUGCUGCAUGGUUGUCGUCAGCUCGUGCCGUGAGGUGUCGGCUCAAGUGGCAUAACAAGAGCAACCCCCCUCCCCAGUUGCCAUCGGGUGACGCCGGGAACUCUGGGGACACUGCCAUCGCAAGAUGCGAGGAAGGCGGGGAUGACGUCAAAUCAGCACGGCCCUUACGUCCGGGGCCACACACGUGUUACAAUGGGGGGCACAGAAAGCUGGAUGCCGGCGACGGUGUCCGAAUCCUCAAAUCCCCUCCCAGUUCGGACUGGAGCCUGCAACCCGGCUCCACGAAGCUGGAUUCGCUAGUAAUCGCGCAUCAGCCAUGGCGCGGUGAAUACGUUCCCGGGCCUUGUACACACCGCCCGUCAAGCCAUGAAAGUCGGGGGCGCCUGAAGUCCGUUGCCGCGAGGCGCGGCCUAGGGUGACACCGGUGAUUGGGGCUAAGUCGUAACAAGGUAACC
rnacentral:rRNA from 1 species